rnacentral:lncRNA from 1 species
AGAGCCCCAACCAGACUGUCUUGCGAAUCUGGACAAGAUGGCCCUUCUUGAGUCAGUCUGGACUCCAGACUGAGGUGCACUACUUAUACUGAAGACCAGCUGAGACAUCCAGCUUUGUGGACUGAACAACUUCCGGAUUCUUGGACUUUCUGUUCAUGUUCAUAGCCUGCCAUUGUUGGACUAGCUACUAGCUGAAUCACAGCGUUUGGAAUCCUUUUGUUUCUUCUUCUUGCCAACUUUCUUCCUAGAACGUCCAACUCACUGUUGACUAGAAAUAUCUAUCGAAGGUGGUAUCCCCAUCUUACUGUUCAUCUGUGGGCUUUCACAGGUGUCCUCUAUCGGCAGGAGGUGUGUUCUCUUCUUGGUCCUCCCUCAACAACUGCUUUCCUUAUGAAGAGGCACUAGAUUUAUGUACCCCAUACUUUGUCUGUGUCUAUUGGGAUGGCCAUGUGUUUUUUAAACAUUUAUCUCACUUAGAUGUGCCUUAUUAAUUUUCUGCAUCAGUCUUGUUUUUGAGGUAGCCUGUCCCUGAGUCUAGCUCUUCACAUCUUGAUGCCUUAGGGUGAACCUCAAGUGUUAAGAGGAUCUUAAUCUUGCGCUGCUGCAAGAUCCCUCUGCUAUCUCUUUGUUGAAGAGUUUUGAAUCUGUAUUAGUAAGAUGCGUUGGCCUGUGGUUUCCUGUUUGUGUCUUUACCUUUUGACACCAGGCUGAGCAGCAGCUGCGCCCUGGGCUUAAAGGUUCCUUCUGCUCUCCGUGCAGGGCCCCAGUCUUCAGAGUCAGGAAGUCCCUCUCACAUAGUCGAGUUCCAGAGACCAAGCUCCUGUCGCUUGAGAUCAUGAGUGUUGCGGAGGUGCUCCCCGUAGCAAGAACCUUCCAAACCCUCACGGUCUGGAGCACCUCAGGGUCCUUUCAGUGGGAGCUUCUCCAGGAGAGCCCCUCCCUCCCGGGACUCACAUUUGAACAGGUCAUGAAGAUGUGCAGACAGCACCAAGCCAGUGAAAACUGCUUCCACGGCUCUGAAGGGAGAGGAAAGGGGAUUCCUUACGCAUGGCUUACAUCCCCCGUGGGUAACCAUUCUAAAGCACUUGCUUGGACGUGGAUAACUCACAAUCACUUCAGGGAUGGGAUGGAGGACAUAAACUGGUGGGCUCACUUUGGCCUUUACCAGUGAAGUGGAGGCUGCAAUUUCAUAGCCAGACAACUUGACAUGGGAACCCGAGGGGAAGGGGGAGUCGUCCUCAGUGCAGCCAAGCUGAAUGGAACCCAACUGUACGUUAACGGGAGACAUAAACGGCAAACUGUGCAUUCAUGGGGAAAAGAAACGGCAAAGUGUGCGUUAGCAGGAGAGACGAACUAUGGUAGGAACAGUGUGAGAGACCAACGCCUUUGUAGCAGCAAAGAUGUGCAAACCAGGGCUCAUGUUUCGAUGUGGCAAAGUCCCUGAUAAGGGCUGGAGGGCCACAUCCCUUAAAAGAUGCACAGAAUUGCCUGCACCAAGACAAAACAAACAAACAAACAAAACAAACAAAAAACUAUAGGUAACAUAUGAAGAAGGGAAGGUUUGGAGAAUGGGAAUGUGCCAGAUAGGAUUGCUGGGGAUGGCAGGGGCAGAAAAAGACUGGAAGAAAUAGCCAUGGGGUCUGUAUGAGGAGGUGCAUACAGCUGGGCUGGGCUGGGCUGGGCGCUGUCACAGCGCUGUCAUAGUGCCCAGCCUAGCGCAGCUGUCCCUUGCAUCGUUUGCACGAUUUAUGUGUUCUUUCAGGUACAGAAAACAAUGUUUUAUACCUUGAUUUUAGGUGAUACUUCAUGAGAGCCUGGGCUAUAGCGCUUCUCCCUUCCUCCAGAUUCCUUCAUGCUAAAAACAGAUCUAAACAAAACCCCACUAAGAGCUAAGACAAUGAGAAUGAGCCCCGGGGACAUACAGAGAGAAGCCCAGAAGGAGAAACGAUGCCAAGCAAGGCCUGCUGGGAAGCCACCAGAAAAGCCUCCCCUGGAGAGGGACAACAUGACCCAGAUUGCU